GCGUGAAGGACGAAGGCCUUCGGGUUGUAAACUUCUUUGAUCAGGGACGAAACAAAUGACGGUACCUGAAGAACAAGCCACGGCUAACUACGUGCCAGCAGCCGCGGUAAUACGUAGGUGGCAAGCGUUAUCCGGAUUUACUGGGUGUAAAGGGCGUGUAGGCGGUCUGGCAAGUCGGAAGUGAAAUCCCCGGGCUUAACCCGGGGGCUGCUCCCGAAACUGCUGGACUUGAGUACUGGAGAGGAUAGUGGAAUUCCUAGUGUAGCGGUAAAAUGCGU
rnacentral:rRNA from 1 species